rnacentral:SRP_RNA from 1 species
GCCAGGCGUGGUGGCGCGUGCCUGUAAUCCCAGCUACUCAGGAGGCUGAGGCAGGAGAAUCACUUGAACCCGGGAGGUGGAGCUUGCAGUGAGCCGAGAUCGCGCCACUGCACUCCAGCCUGGGCAACAAAGUGAGAUUCUGUCUCAA